rnacentral:lncRNA from 1 species
GUGUCUCAGUGAAAGGGUCAUGGGCAAGAGGGGGAGAGCUGCAAACAGUAGAGAUGCUGCCGUGUGGGGAGACUCCCUGGAGGGCAAGACUGAAGCCCCUGCCCGUCUGCUGGGGGCCAGUUCAUCGACUUGCACUGGGGCUGUCUUUGGAGCUCAAUGGCUGACCAGUUAGAGCAGCACUUCCCAAAGAGGAGCCCACAGACCCUUCAUAGAAACCACCUGGGACACUGGUGGGCCGUGAGGACUCCUGAGCUCGUCUCAAACCUGUGGAAGCAGGAGUGCUGUGCAUGGGGACCAGGUGUCUGCAAUUAACAAACUCCCCAGACACUGAGAGACCCUGAACCUUAGAGGCCAUUUGGUUGGGCCUUGGUUUUCAUUCCAGGGUAUGCACAAAGCUAAUGGCCCAGAACCCUCCAGGAGCUAAAAGCAAAGGGAGUGACCUGGAGACGGGCCCCGCUGCUGGUCUAGUCUGUCUCUCUCCGUUUUUUUCUUUUCUCUUUCUUUACCAUGGAUGUAUAUUUGGGUGAAACCACCCAUCAGUUACCUAGGUUCCCCUAAGCUGUGGGUCAGUUUCCUACUUGAUGUUAGUCACUGUUGCUUAAAGUGUGGACUAGUCCAUAGUGAGAAAGGAGGGGCAAAUCUGAAAGGGGCCUGUGCUGUGGACUGAGGCUUCAAUCCUACUGUGAGAAGUGUUUGCAGGGGCUGGUGGGUGCACUGCUGGGCCAGGGACCCCAUCCACCCAUAGGGUGUUCACGUGCUAUUUUCCAGAGGGCUGGGUGCCCCUGAGUGGGAGAUGUUACAAA